rnacentral:rRNA from 1 species
GUGUGGAACCUGCCCCGAAGACCGGGAUAACCCUCCGAAAGGAGAGCUAAUACCGGAUGCCCUUACCGGACCGCAUGAUCCGGUGAGGAAAUGGAUUCCGCUUCGGGAGGGUCUCGCGGCCUAUCAGCUUGUUGGUGGGGUAACGGCCCACCAAGGCUUCGACGGGUAGCUGGUCUGAGAGGACGAUCAGCCACACUGGGACUGAGACACGGCCCAGACUCCUACGGGAGGCAGCAGUGGG